CCCUUAGAUGUCCUGGGCCGCACGCGCGUUACACUGAUGCAUUCAACGAGCUUAUAACCUUGGCCGAGAGGCCUGGGCAAUCUUGUUAACGUGCAUCGUGAUAGGGAUAGAUUAUUGCAAUUAUUAGUCUUGAACGAGGAAUUCCUAGUAAGCACAAGUCAUCAGCUUGUGUUGAUUACGUCCCUGCCCUUUGUACACACCGCCCGUCGCUCCUACCGAUUGAAUGUUCCGGUGAGCUCUUCGGACUGCGCGGUCUGCAGUUUCUGCGUUCCGUGCGGAAAGUUGCGCAAACCUUAACAUUUAGAGGAAGGAGAAGUCGUAACA
rnacentral:rRNA from 1 species